AAAUUGAAGAGUUUGAUCAUGGCUCAGAUUGAACGCUGGCGUCAGGCCUAACACAUGCAAGUCGAACGGUAACAGGAAACAGCUUGCUGUUUCGCUGAGGAGUGGCGGACGGGGGAGGAAUGUCUGGGAAAAUGCCUGAUGGUGGGGGAUAACUACUGGAAACGGUAGGUAAUACCGCAUAACGUCGCAAGACCAAACUGGGGG
rnacentral:rRNA from 1 species